rnacentral:rRNA from 1 species
GAUGAACGCUGGCUACAGGCUUAACACAUGCAAGUCGAGGGGAAACGACGGGGAAGCUUGCUUCCUCGGGCGUCGACCGGCGCACGGGUGAGUAACGCGUAUCCAACCUGCCUCUGACUGAGGGAUAACCCGUCGAAAGUCGGCCUAAUACCUCAUGGCAUCGUCUGCGGGCAUCCAACGACGAUUAAAGAUUUCAUCGGUCAGGGAUGGGGAUGCGUCUGAUUAGUUAGUUGGCGGGGUAACGGCCCACCAAGGCGACGAUCAGUAGGGGUUCUGAGAGGAAGGUCCCCCACAUUGGAACUGAGACACGGUCCAAACUCCUACGGGAGGCAGCAGUGAGGAAUAUUGGUCAAUGGGCGAGAGCCUGAACCAGCCAAGUAGCGUGCAGGAUGACGGCCCUAUGGGUUGUAAACUGCUUUUAUGCGGGGAUAAAGUGAGGGACGUGUCCUUCAUUGCAGGUACCGCAUGAAUAAGGGCCGGCUAAUUCCGUGCCAGCAGCCGCGGUAAUACGGAAGGUCCGGGCGUUAUCCGGAUUUAUUGGGUUUAAAGGGAGCGUAGGCCGUGGAUUAAGCGUGUUGUGAAAUGCAGGUGCUCAACGUCUGCACUGCAGCGCGAACUGGUCCACUUGAGUGUGCGCAACGCAGGCGGAAUUCGUCGUGUAGCGGUGAAAUGCUUAGAUAUGACGAAGAACUCCGAUUGCGAAGGCAGCUUGCGGGAGCACAACUGACGCUGAAGCUCGAAAGUGCGGGUAUCGAACAGG